AAAUAGCCCCGCGCAAGGGAUUGAGGCAUUAGUUGAAGCUCUUUUUGUGUUGUUGCACCUAUGCAACACAAAAAAGCAACUGCCGAAAGCCCGACCCCCU
rnacentral:misc_RNA from 1 species